rnacentral:rRNA from 1 species
UACGUAGGUGGCAAGCGUUGUCCGGAUUUACUGGGCGUAAAGAGCGCGCAGGCGGUCGGAUAAGUCGAAUGUGAAAGCCCCCGGCUCAACUGGGGAGGGUCAUUCGAUACUGUUCGACUCGAAGGCAGGAGAGGGAAGUGGAAUUCCCGGUGUAGUGGUGAAAUGCGUAGAUAUCGGGAGGAACACCAGUGGCGAAGGCGGCUUUCUGGACCGUAACUGACGCUGAGACACGAAAGCGUGGGUAGCAAACAGG